AAUAAUUGAUGGCGGUUUCAUAGAGGUCAUGGGAAUGUCCAGCGGCGGCAACGUCGUCGUGCUGACUGCCGAUGACGCGUUUAUAACACUAUCCCGGAUCGAGUCGAUGGCUCGUAACACCAUUUCCUGAAUCAGACAAGUUGAGUAGAA
ensembl:ncRNA C02D4.12 ncRNA